UUACUGUCCAGGGCAUACCAGAAGCUGGGAAAAGCCUACACAACACCAGAACUCACCUCCCCUAGGGAGACCCACCCAAGUAGCCACACUAAGAAUUUCCUCCCUACAGAGCAACUGCAAAGCUGCCCCCAGACACAGGGAAACCCCGGGAUAGCAACUCCCAGCCGAGAGACUCCACUCGCGCUGCCGCGGCCAGAUGGAAGCAAUCAGAACCCAGCAACCACAGAGGAAGAAAGAAGAAAAAACCUCACUGAAUUUUUCGGGCCAGAGUGUGUCUGGGGGAGUGUGUGAAAGAACUUGCUUAAGCAAACUUUGAAGUGACGAACCGGGGGCCUCCAGCUUCAGCACAGCCCAGCAGUGAGCUCCCUGGCUUGGAGAUGCUCGCGGGCAGCUGACUAAAGCGCCUCCCACCCCUUGACCACCAGCCUCUCCAGGGUUCAGGGGCCUGACCCACAGAGCUGAUUUUCCUUGCUAGCAUUUGUGUAGCAGUUACUAUGUGACAGGUGACACAUUACACGUCCUUUAUAUUCUUUAGUCUGCAAAACUGCGAGGUAGGUGUUCUUCCCCCAUUGUAUAGGCAAGAAGACUGAGGCUUAAAUAAUUUUUCUUGGUCAGAGCACUGACCCGACUUCCAUGUAUUCCAGUAGGUUGUUCAGUCAGAUUCUCCCUACUGAGACUGAUGAGAGCAUCUCUCCCCACAGCCCCUGUCCCUGCACUUACACCCUGUCUGGCAUGCAAACAAAGGAAGGAAAAGCUCAGAGACCCGCUCUACCCUCCCAGGGGUUGUUACCUGCCCAGACCCAUUUUACUGAAGGAGUUGUUAGGGGAAAAGGCAGUCCCGAGCAAACUCCACAAAUAGGUUUUAUGGACUCCACCCCCACUCCAGACCAAAGAUAUCCAAGACACUAAGAACUACAAACCCCACAAUAUCAUCAGCGUGGAAGGGAGGGUUAUUGGAAACUGAGGGUGGAGUUAAGCAGCCAGGUUUCGCAUAUAACCAGACAUGUGGGCCUUGGGGGGCUCUUGGUUUUUCUCCAGCUCUCAGCGUGCUGUUGGGGAUUCCAGCUCAGCUGAACUGACUUCACUCCUGCUGGAAUUCAGGCACUCCCAUAACCUUUUGUGGCUUAUUUUGGCAAGAAGAUGGCUGUGGAGAUGAAGACGGAAUGUUUUCUGUUUGAGGAGAGGUUGGAGACAUGGUGCCUUAAUCUCUAGAUGGUCAGAAACUGAGAUCUGAAAAAAGCAGCAGUGGAUUUGGAGCAGGCGCAAACCGGCAUAGCAGAGAAAGCCUUCAUCUGAAUGUGGAACAUCAGGGCCUGCUCACAGAUCUGGCACUAGAUGUGGGUGAGCCCCAUCUCAUUCACUCAGCAGGCUCCUGUGUCUCAGGUGAGCCUGUGACCUCAUGGUGACAUCACAGGGUGAUGUCACAUGGUGACAUCACAAAACUGAAGAGGUCCUUCCCCUCCUAAAGCUUAAUGUUUCCACAAUAACCACAAACAAAUACAUCAUCACAAGCUAGGUGAAGAAAAACUGAAAUUCUCUAAGAGCUGGUGAUGGGUGAUGUGCUGUGGUGGGAGGUCGGGGUGAGGCGCAGGGAGUGCUUUCCUGAGGAAGUGAGGUUGUACUGAUAUGAAGAAGGAAUGAGGAUAACAAAAGCAAAAAUAGAUAAAGGAAACUCCAUUACACUAAAAUGCCUCUGCACAGCAAAGGAACGACAGUAUGAAGGGCAUUCUGGAGAAUGGAAGAAAGUAUUUACAUACCAUGUAUCUGACAAAGGAUUCAUUUCCAAAUAUAUAAAAGGAACUACCAAAACUCAAUAGCAAAAAAACAAUGACUGCACUGAAAAAUAUGCUAAGGGCUUGAAUAAACAUUUCUUCAAAGAAGACAUGGAAAUGAUCAAUACGAAUAUGAAAAGAUGUUCAGCAUCGCUAAUCAUCAGGAAAAUGCAAUCAAAACUACAGUGAGCUACCACCUCACACCUGUUAGAAUGUUUAUCCAAAAAAAAAAAAAAAAAAAGAUAACAAGUGUUGACAAAGAUAGGGAGAACCUUUUACACUGUUGUUGGGAAUGUAAGAUGUUGUGGCCAUGAUGGAAAACAGUAUGGAGGUACCUCAAAAAAUUAAAACUGAAGGGCCUCCCUGGUGGCACAAGGGGCAAAGUCUCAGCACCCUCAAGCUAUCAGCAGCCAUUGCAGCAUGAGUUCCAUCCCGUCUUGCCUGCUGCUCCCCUCAGCAGUGGAUUCAGUAAAUCUGCCUGUUCUGCUCCCCACUCUGUCUCUGGUGAAUCCUCUCAGCCCCCCGCACCUCUGCCCUGCACCUCCAUUCUUGU